rnacentral:rRNA from 1 species
UACGGGGGGGGCAAGCGUUGUUCGGAAUUACUGGGCGUAAAGGGCUCGUAGGCGGCCAACUAAGUCAGACGUGAAAUCCCCAGGCUUAACUUGGGAACUGCGUCUGAUACUGGGAGGCUUGAGUGCGGGAGAGGGAUGUGGAAUUCCAGGUGUAGCGGUGAAAUGCGUAGAUAUCUGGAGGAACACCGGUGGCGAAGGCGGCAUCCUGGACCGACACUGACGCUGAGGCGCGAAAGCUAGGGGAGCAAACGGG